rnacentral:misc_RNA from 1 species
CACCACUCAAGCCUGGCUUGGUAUUGGGCGCCGGGACUCUCCCGCGCCUUAAUUUCACCGGCUGGACCGUCUCUAUCUCAGCGUUGUGGUUUCAAAUUCGCUGGCGAGAAGGACGGCUCACGCCGUUAAAACUUCUAUCAA